CACGUAGGGCGCGAGCGUUGUCCGGAAUUAUUGGGCGUAAAGAGCUCGUAGGCGGCCUGUUGCGUCCGCUGUGAAAGCCCGGGGCUUAACCCCGGGUCGCAGUGGAUACGGGCAGGCUAGAGGUAGGUAGGGGAGAAUGGAAUUCCCGGUGUAGCGGUGAAAUGCGCAGAUAUCGGGAGGAACACCGGUGGCGAAGGCGGUUCUCUGGGCCUGUUCUGGACGCUGAGGAGCGAAAGCGUGGGGAGCGAACAGG
rnacentral:rRNA from 1 species